GCCAGGCAUGGUGGUGCAUGCCUGUAAUCCCAGCUACUCGGGAGGCUGAGGCAGGAGAAUCGCUUGAACCCAGGAGAGGGAGGCUGCAGUGAGCUGAGAUUACACCACUGCACUCCAGCCUGGGCAACAGAGCGAGACUCUGUCUCAA
rfam:Nomascus leucogenys chromosome 1a, whole genome shotgun sequence.